rnacentral:rRNA from 1 species
GACGUCAAAUCAUCAUGCCCCUUAUGUGUAGGGCUACACACGUGCUACAAUGGCUGGUACAGAGAGAUGCAAUACCGCGAGGUGGAGCCAAACUUAAAAACCAGUCUCAGUUCGGAUUGUAGGCUGAAACUCGCCUACAUGAAGCUGGAGUUACUAGUAAUCGCGAAUCAGAAUGUCGCGGUGAAUACGUUCCCGGGUCUUGUACACACCGCCCGUCACACCAUGAGAGUUGGCAAUACCCGAAGUCCGUGAGCUAACCGCAAGGAGGCAGCGGCCGAAGGUAGGGUCAGCGAUUGGGGUGAAGUCGUAACAAGGUAGCCGUAGGAGAACCUGCGGCUGGAUCACCUCCUUU